CCACCUUUACUCCUACGGGAGGCAGCAGUGGGGAAUAUUGCACAAUGGGCGCAAGCCUGAUGCAGCGACGCCGCGUGAGGGAUGACGGCCUUCGGGUUGUAAACCUCUUUCAGCAGGGAAGAAGCGCGAGUGACGGUACCUGCAGAAGAAGCACCGGCUAACUACGUGCCAGCAGCCGCGGUAAUC
rnacentral:rRNA from 1 species